rnacentral:lncRNA from 1 species
CCACAGUUGAAUGUUGCCAGAUCUUAUUUUGAAAAAUUGUGUUGUGUCUACAGAAUGCAAAUCAUCUGAAUGGAAAUGCAAAGCUUGCUUCGUCCUCGAUGCUCCAUUUCAGUUGAACGGUGAGAAGACCCAAACUUCAACGAGACAUGAAGAAAUUCAUGGAAAGAAAAGACCAAGAAAAGAGAGGAAAGGCUAAGAAAAGGUUUUCUGACCUUCCAUAUAUCUCAGUCCUGGGGGUUCUCUCUCAGCUCCGUCUCUGGCAGUUUACGGAGAGCGUGUGCUGUGACGGAGAUCGACAGAAGCUGCCUUGUACAUUCGCUAUCCCAUGCAAACCCCACUUCCAUUUGCACGUGGGCCAGGAAGAUCCAGGCGGUUUCAUCUUCCUGACUAGCUUUCAUCUCUCUGCAACAGCUGUCUGGUGAGCUCUGUGGUGAAGUCUCACGCAGGAUCUGAGAAGAAGUGUGCUCUGAUCAAACUGGAGUUGUCAACUCGGGUGCAAAAGUGAAAAGUCUGCCUUCCAGACAUAGGCACAAAGAUCGGCAAAUGACCAGCUCUGCUUUGCCAAAAAUCAGAAAAUGAUUUUGAGUUAUUUACAUGCUAAUUUCAAAUGAUCUCUGGCUUGAUCUGAGAAAAAAAAAGUAUGUAAAAAUGGGCUGAAAAAUGCACGUACAGCUUUUAAAAAGUGAAUGUCAAUUUUUCUAUUAGCACUUUAAAAAAAUUGGCUGACAGCGGGUGAUAACGUUAGAUUGGGCUCCCCCAUCUGCGGUGAGCAGCAUUCUGAGGUUACAGGUUUCUACAGACAGAAGAGCAGGGACAUACAAAAAAAAAAUCGUUACUUGGUCAAAUGUUUGGUUUCAAAAAGAAUCGUUUGUUGGUCUACAACAGAUGUGAGAGCAUUUCAAGGAAACAUUUACAUAUUUGAAACACUAGUUAUGAUGGGGCACUUUAUUUCAGUGUGAGGGAAGACGUUUCCAACUUUAAUUUUCUUUCUGGUUAGGGUUUAAGUAGGGGGGAUGAGGGCCACUUCCUCGUUCUCAGAAGCAGACUUACUUACUUUUUCCCCUCUAACUUAAGAAGUGAGAAAUCAUUCAAUUAUGCCGACUAUAUUUAACGAUUAGAAAGAUUUUUCUAUUCCAGGUCUUAAACUGUUGUGUUUCUUUUAACUUGGAGAUAUAGCUAAUGGAUAGCCAUUAUAGUUAUUUUUUUUAAUUUCUAUUUUCUCAUUGCGUUCAUGAAGCAAAGAGGAGAAAAGCUUUUGUUUCCCCUAAAGGAAGUUGUAAAUUUUGAAGUAUGUUUUUAUAAAUUCUCUCACAUGUAUACAGUCACUAUUUCUCAUCAAUCGCAUAUGUGCAGAUACAACAGCCCACGAAUGUGUCUGAUUAUUGGGCCAUCAAUUUCACUCUUACCAAAUAAAGUAGUUUGACUUUAUUAUUUACA